UACAGAGGUCUCAAGCGUUGUUCGGAUUCAUUGGGCGUAAAGGGUGUGUAGGUGGCGCCGUAAGUCGGGUGUGAAAUUUCGGAGCUUAACUCCGAAACUGCAUUCGAUACUGCCGUGCUUGAGGACUGGAGAGGGAGACUGGAAUUUACGGUGUAGCGGUGAAAUGCGUAGAUAUCGUAAGGAAGACCAGUGGCGAAGGCGGUCUCUGGACAGUUCCUGACGCUGAGGCACGAAGGUCAGGGGAGCAAACGGG
rnacentral:rRNA from 1 species